rnacentral:rRNA from 1 species
AAAGCAUCUAAGUGGGAAGCCCCUCCUAAGAUAAGAUUUCCCAAUUAGCCUCCUGGCAGACUACCAGGUGAUAGGCUUCAGGUGUAAGCAUAGUGAUAUGUUCAGCCGAGAAGUACUAAUAGGCGAUCGUCUUAUAUGA